rfam:Protomyces lactucaedebilis strain 12-1054 BCR37scaffold_3, whole genome shotgun sequence.
UCCCCAAUAGUGUAGAGGUUAUCACUGCUCGUUUUCAAUCUGAAAAUCCGUGCCGACUCGGGUUCGAUUCCCGAUUGGGGAG